rnacentral:rRNA from 1 species
GAUGAACGCUAGCUACAGGCUUAACACAUGCAAGUCGAGGGGCAGCACUAGGUAGCAAUACUGAGGUGGCGACCGGCGCACGGGUGCGUAACGCGUAUCCAACCUUCCCGAUACUCUUGGAUAGCCUUCCGAAAGGGAGAUUAAUACAAGAUGGUGUUUCAAUUCCGCAUGUUAUUGAAACUAAAGAUUUAUCGGUAUCGGAUGGGGAUGCGUGACAUUAGAUAGUAGGCGGGGUAACGGCCCACCUAGUCUACGAUGUCUAGGGGUUCUGAGAGGAAGGUCCCCCACACUGGAACUGAGACACGGUCCAGACUCCUACGGGAGCAGCAGUGAGGAAUAUUGGUCAAUGGUCGGAAGACUGAACCAGCCAUUGCCGCGUUGAAAGGUCACGGCCCCUUAAUGGGGUCUUAAAACUUCUUUUGUAAGGGAGCAAUAAAGUCUCACGUGUGGGAUGAAUGAGAGUACCCUUACGAAU